ensembl:lncRNA
ACUGAUCAUGUAACUCCGCCCACAACUCCAAACAAAGCCACGCCCUCUUCGCCAUCGUCCGCUGAACAGCCGAUGGGUUUGAGCAGCCCAGAGUUACUAAGAGAACUGAAACAACCACACACGCUCAAACACGUCCCCGCGCACACGGGACGGAAAACGGUGUUCUGUGGACGAGGACGACAGAAUCAGACGGCAGAGAGUCAGUCGAAAACCCUGCACUGAAACUCCAGCAUUCUCAGUGACUGUUCAGCAGUGAUUAGUUGCUCUGUCAUUGGCUGUCUGAGCUGUCCGUCAGUGAUAAGCCCCACCCCCUGCAGUGAUGUGGGCAGGUGGUUUGCUCUGGUUAUGAGGAUCUUUAGGGAACACAUCUGUCAUGUUUGUGUGCAACUCAAGGAACCAGACAGGUGAGAAUCACCAGACUGAACAUGACGCUUUAAUCCUUCACGUCGCUGACUCUGACCGUGAUGAUCAGGUGGCUCCUGCUGCCGUUCCUGAGGAGGAAGUGACAUCAUCAGAGAGUGCGCUGGACAAAGGUUCCAGGUGUCCCGCCUCCUGUUGGACCCAAACUCCGCCCUCGGCCCCACCGCCCUCUCACACACUCACAGAAAAUCUCUUACUUCUUCAAUGCAAAAUAAGGUGGGUAUUAUGUAUCCUAAUGUAUAAUGUAUCCUAAUUUGACUUGUUUAUGAACGUGUUUGAUUCUGUUCUAUUUUUUCAUGUUCUUAGGAAAUAGUGAGUUAGUGUGUAUGCUACCCUUACCAAAAUGAACCAUGGUUUUACUACAAAUAAACCAAAAAAGCAUGGUUAUAGAUAAAUCA